rnacentral:rRNA from 1 species
GACAGAGGAUGCAAGCGUUAUCCGGAAUGAUUGGGCGUAAAGCGUCUGUAGGUGGCUUUUCAAGUCCGCCGUCAAAUCCCAGGGCUCAACCCUGGACAGGCGGUGGAAACUGCCAAGCUGGAGUACGGUAGGGGCAGAGGGAAUUUCCGGUGUAGCGGUGAAAUGCGUAGAUAUCGAGAGGAACACCUGCGGCGAAGGCGGGUUGCUGGGCUGACACUGACGCUGAAACGCGAAAGCUAGGGGAGCGAACGGG